rnacentral:rRNA from 1 species
CCUACGGGUCGCAGCAGUGGGGAAUAUUGCACAAUGGGCGCAAGCCUGGUGCAGCCAUGCCGCGUGUACGAAGAAGGCCUUAGGGUUGUAAAGUACUUUCAGUUGGGAGGCAGGCGUUGAUGCUAAUAUCAUCAACGAUUGACGUUACCAACUGAAGAAGCACCGGCUAACUCCGUGCCAGCAGCCGCGGUAAUACGGAGGGUGCAAGCGUUAAUCGGAAUUACUGGCGUAAAGCGCACGCAGGCGGUUGAUUAAGUUAGAUGUGAAAUCCCCGGGCUUAACCUGGGAAUGGCAUCUAAGACUGGUCAGCUAGAGUCUUGUAGAGGGGGGUAGAAUUCCAUGUGUAGCGGUGAAAUGCGUAGAGAUGUGGAGGAAUACCGAUGGCGAAGGCGGCCCCCUGGACAAAGACUGACGCUCAGGUGCGAAAGCGUGGGGAGCAAACAGGAUUAGAUACCCGAGUAGUC